AUUGAACGCUGGCGGCAUGCCUUACACAUGCAAGUCGAACGGCAGCACGGGUGCUUGCACCUGGUGGCGAGUGGCGAACGGGUGAGUAAUACAUCGGAACAUGUCCUGUAGUGGGGGAUAGCCCGGCGAAAGCCGGAUUAAUACCGCAUACGAUCUACGGAGGAAAGCGGGGGACCUUCGGGCCUCGCGCUAUAGGGUUGGCCGAUGGCUGAUUAGCUAGUUGGUGGGGUAAAGGCCUACCAGGGCGACGAUCAGUAGCUGGUCUGAGAGGACGACCAGCCACACUGGGACUGAGACACGGCCCAGACUCCUACGGGAGGCAGCAGUGGGGAAUUUUGGACAAUGGGCGAAAGCCUGAUCCAGCAAUGCCGCGUGUGUGAAGAAGGCCUUCGGGUUGUAAAGCACUUUUGUCCGGAAAGAAAUCCUUGGCCCUAAUACGGUCGGGGGAUGACGGUACCGGAAGAAUAAGCACCGGCUAACUACGUG
rnacentral:rRNA from 1 species